CAGCAGCCACGGGAAUACGUAGGUGGCAAGCGUUGUCCGGAAUUAUUGGGCGUAAAGGGCUCGCAGGCGGUUUCUUAAGUCUGAUGUGAAAGCCCCCGGCUCAACCGGGGAGGGUCAUUGGAAACUGGGAAACUUGAGUGCAGAAGAGGAGAGUGGAAUUCCACGUGUAGCGGUGAAAUGCGUAGAAAUGUGGAGGAACACCAGUGGCGAAGGCGACUCUCUGGUCUGUAACUGACGCUGAGGAGCGAAAGCGUGGGGAGCGAACAGGAUUAGAUACCCCGGUAGUCCCUGUCUCUUAUAU
rnacentral:rRNA from 1 species